GAUGAACGCUGGCGGCGUGCUUAACACAUGCAAGUCGAACGGACACAUCUUUCGGGGUGUGUCAGUGGCAGACGGGUGCGUAACACGUGGGUGACCUGCCCUAGAGUGGGGAACAACUCCGCUAACGCGGAGCUAAUACCGCAUAUGCUCGGUGGAUCGAACCGCCGAGUAAAGCCGAAAGGCGCUUUGGGAUGGGCCUGCGGCGGAUUAGGUAGUUGGUGGGGUAACGGCCUACCAAGCCGAUGAUCCGUAGGGGGCGUGAGAGCGUGGCCCCCCA
rnacentral:rRNA from 1 species